UGACCGUCGCGGACUACAUAUCCCGAGCAGAGUCUCAGAGCCGCCAGGGUCCCCCCCGCAAGGAGAGCCAGGAGAAGACCCCCGAGGGCGGCAACCCCCCCAAGCAGAAGGCAGAGCCGGGCAGCAAGAUGGCCAACGGCCCUUCGGAGAACGGGGAGCACAGCGCCACAGCCGGGGGGGCCGAGGUGGAGGUGGCCGCCCUGGUCAACGGGGUCUCCUAAGGGCCCUGCCGGUGCUGCCCACACGCCCGGCCCUCCUCCUCCUCUCCGUGAAACGAUCCCGCCUUCCCCCCUGCUUGCAACACCAUCUUCAAGAGAAACGAAAUAAACCACCACCACCAGUCUUCGUUCAACCAAACCAACAAAAACAAAACAAACCAUCAUUUAAACCAGAACAAACCAACAUCCAACCCCCCCUCCCAACCCCAACCCCCCCAGGUAUUUCCUCUCGUGCGCGUUUCCAAGCUUGCCAAAGACGGGGAAAAAGAACAAACCUCUCUGUGCCGCGGCUCUUAAAAACGCAUCCCGGUUAAACGUUUUGGCUGCGGCCGCCGGGUGGGGGGAGUCCGAAACACCCCCCUCCCCAAUCCUGGUUUGUUUCUGCCCUCUUUGCGUGUGAAAGGGGACGGGGGGGGAGGAGACGGCGGGGUUCCUCCGAGGCUACCUGAGCUGGUCCUUGUCGUGCUCCCCCCCCCCACUCCCCCGAGAGAGGUGCAAAGGAGGGGAGGGGGCAUCGGGUGUGAAAACACGACAACUUUUCACAACUUUUUUCUUUGGGUGACUUUAAAAAGUUUUGGUUUCGUUUUUUUUUUGGUUUUUGGUUUUG